UACGUAGGUGGCAAGCGUUGUCCGGAUUUACUGGGCGUAAAGAGCGCGCAGGCGGUCGAUCAAGUCGAGUGUGAAAGCCCCCGGCUCAACUGGGGAGGGUCAUUCGAUACUGAUCGACUCGAAGGCAGGAGAGGGUAGUGGAAUUCCCGGUGUAGUGGUGAAAUGCGUAGAUAUCGGGAGGAACACCAGUGGCGAAGGCGACUACCUGGCCUGUUCUUGACGCUGAGGCGCGAAAGCUAGGGUAGCAAACGGG
rnacentral:rRNA from 1 species